rnacentral:rRNA from 1 species
GAUGAACGCUGGCGGCGUGCCUAAUACAUGCAAGUCGAGCGAACAGACGAGGAGCUUGCUCCUCUGACGUUAGCGGCGGACGGGUGAGUAACACGUGGAUAACCUACCUAUAAGACUGGGAUAACUUCGGGAAACCGGAGCUAAUACCGGAUAAUAUAUUGAACCGCAAGGUUCAAUAGUGAAAGACGGUUUUGCUGGCACUAAUAGAUGAAUCCGCGCCGCAUUAGCUAGUUGGUAAGGUAACGGCUUACCAAGGCGACGAUGCGUAGCCGACCCGAGAGGGAGAUCGGCCACACUGGAUCUGAGACACGGUCCAGACUCCUACGGGAGGCAGCAGUAGGGACUCUUCCGCAAUGGGCGAGAGCCUGACGGAGCAACGCCGCGUGAGUGAUGAAGGUCUUCGGAUCGUAAAACUCUGUUAUUAUGGAAGAACAAAUGUGUAAGUAACUAUGCACGUCUUGACGGUACCUAAUCAGAAAGCCACGGCUAACUACGUG